UUUAUGAAACCACUGGAGAGAAGUCUAGUUGAAUGUUUUUUUUCUUCUUUCUUUCUUUCUUUUUUUUUUUUUUUUUUUGGUUUUUCGAGACAGGGUUUCUCAGUAUAGCCCUGGCUGUCCUGAAACUCACUCAGUAGACCAGGCUGGCCUCGAACUUAGAAAUCCACCUGCCUCUGCCUCCCAAGUGCUGGGAUCAAAGGCGUGCGCCACCACUGCCUGGCAAAAUAUUAUUUAUUUACUUUUAUGAGUACACUGUAGCUGUCUUCAGACACACCAGAAGAGGGUGUCAGAUCCCAUUACAGAUGGUUGUGAGGCACCAUGUGGUUGUUGGGAUUUGAACCCGGGGCCAUUCUGGAAGAAUGGUCAGUGCUCUUAACCGCUGAGCCAUUUCUCCAGCCCGGAAUGUUUCUUUCUACAGACAGACUGUAUAUACGUUCAUUCUCUGUAAAAAGGCUGAAAACUACCAGGCACGGUGGCACAGCAUUUAGGAGGCAGAGGCAGGAGGAUUUCUAUGAGUCAAGGCCAGUCUACAGAGUGAGUCUCAAGCCACAUAGUGACAAACAAAACAAAACAAAAUAAAAACCCACCAAAACAAACCCAUGAGAACUAGGCACAGGUUGCCUCUGUAUGCCAUUCUGUCUAAACUGAAAGACGUGAAGGAGCUGUGUGACAGUUGGAGGUCAACGUCACCACAGGCUGGUGAGUAUGGACCUGCUUCAGUGUACCAGGGCACCAGUAUUCUCCUGGGGGGUGAAAAUGUACAGACACCCUCUGUCCGUUUGCCAGCAGCAUGGUGGUUUCCUUCUGGGCUGCUGCAGCCAACCAAGCUGUGGGCAUCACAGGGAUCUGGAGCGGGGGUCAUGGUAGACAGAGACACAAGCCGGGUUCACCUUGAGAAUAAAGUUUGUAUCCCCCCCACCCCACCCCACCCCACCCCACCUCCGUUGCUGUUUAUAUAAUGUUUAAUAACUCCAUGGCCCUGCAGGCAGUGCUAGAGCAAACAGUAUCUUUACGAUCCUUAUCUGAGUCUUCUGCACUUCCCUGCCCCUGUGGCCUUGUUUUGCCCUGAGGACACUCCUCUUUGACCUUAUCUCCUGCCUUCAUUUUUUUUUUCCACUGUCAGGGAAAUGACUUGAUGAGCCAGGGACCCUACGCCUCCUCUUGUUUGGAAUUUGGGUUUUGGCAAAGUCUGACUGUAGGCUUGGCCCACUCUCCCUUUUGGGGGGGGGGUUCAGCUUUUUUCUCAUUUGAUGGAGAUCAAGAGAUAGCCUAAAGGGUGGGUACUGGGUCUCCUGUCUCGGAAGGACCCAGGCAUUUGAGUAACCUCUGCAGUAACCCAGGGUGGUAGCUCUGGAGUUCUCAGCCCAGGGCUUUAUCUACUUGAUGACGUCAUGCCCAGAGUCAGACUGGCAUCUCCUACCUGACUGUGACCUUUGACUGUGAAUGAAUCCUGGUGGGGCAGAGAGUAUUAACAAGCGCCUCCUAAAAGAAUCUUUGUUCUAUCUACAUCCUUUGUGGGGGAAAGAUAGGAGGCAGCCUGAUAGGGGGAGGGACGGGCCUGCAAGAGCCUCCGGCAGUGGGUGAGGAGGCAGCGUGCUCCAGCCUCUGUUUCCUCACCAGAGCCCUGACAGUGGAGGCCAGUCACUGGGAGUCAGAAUGUCCUGUAUAAUAAAUACCAACAGGGGCCUUUCAUUGCAUUUGGGUUCUGAGUGUGCACAUCUAGAAGAGGGGUGUGACAGGUCCCCUUCCAGGGUAUUCUGGCUGGACUGACCUGGUCAGCCUUGUCCCCUCUGCAAUAUGCCUUCAGUAUGAGGUGCCAUCUAGAUUCCUAUGUCACCAGAAAACCCAAGGCGUCACUGACAACUAAUGCUGGGCAGAGGUAGCACCGGCUUCUUUUCAGACAAAGCUCCUGGCACUGCUCUGGGUCUUUCUGAAGAACAUGUUACCUUUUUUGGGUGGACAGUUUUGGUCCUAAACAGUGAGCUCUCUCAGCUUGGAGCUCUGGGCUGCCUCUUUGAAGUCAGCAUAGGGCCCUGUCCGCAGGCCCUUCCCGCUCAGCCCUGGCAUAAGGUACUUUUCCUGCUCGGUUCAGCCUAUGGCUCUGGGCAGGAUUUUGUGAGCCCGGGAAGAGCUGCAGUGUGUGAGGUGUCCUGGCUUCUGUUGUCUCAGGUAGCUGUUUCUAGCCUGACUUAUUCCCUCAGCUUCUGGUCUGUUCCUAGCAGUUUGUGCAUGGCAUCUGUCUGCGUGCUUCUGUGUACUCGGCAGUGACCUUCCUGAGACAGUGGCCCCUUUGAAGUUCUCAGCCAGUCCCAUCCCGGCCCCAGUUGUAGUGAAAGUCUUUCUGCAUUCUCAGGGUGUGACUGUCUGCUUGUGUGGUAAAUGGUCUCACUUUUCAGAGAAGAAAACUUUUUUUUUCCCCUGUUGGAAAAGCAGCAGGAGGUGGGUGGUGGACACUCACACCUUUUAAUUCCAGCAUGUGGGAGGCAGAGGCAGGCAGAUCUCUUUUGAGUUUGAGGUCAGCCUGGUCCACAGAGGGAGUCCAGGACACAGGGCUACAUAAAGAAACCCUGUCUCAGGGGAAAAAGAAAGAAAAGAGAAGAGAAGAAAAGAGAAGAAAAGAAAAGCCGGGGGCUGGUGAGAUGGCUCUGUGGGUAAGAGCACCCGACUGCUCUUCCAAAGGUGAGGAGUUCAAAUCCCAGCAACCACAUGGUGGCUCACAACCAUCCAUAACAAGAUCUGACUCCCUCUUCUGGAGUGUCUGAGGACAGCUACAGUGUAUUUACAUAUAAUAAAUAAAUAAAUAAAUAUUAAAAAAAAAAAAAAGAAAAAAGGAAAGAAAAGCCGGGCGUGGUGGUGCACGCCUUUAAUCCCAGCACUUGGGAGGCAGAGGCAGGAGGAUUUCUGAGUUCGAGGCCAGCCUGGUCUACAGAGUGAAUUCCAGGACAGCCAGGGCUACACAGAGAAACCCUGUCUCAAAAAAACAAAAAAAGAAAAGAAAAGGAAGAAAAAGAAAGAAAGAAAGGGAGAGAGAGAGAAGGG
rnacentral:lncRNA from 1 species